rnacentral:pre_miRNA from 1 species
UUGAUUUAAAUCAUUGUGGAUCUACACUUUGAAAAUUGAACCAACACAAAGUGUGGACAUACAUUGAUUUUAUCUAA